GGUAUUCACCUUGGAAGCCCAUAUAUUAAAAUUAGAACAAUGAAGAGAAGAUUAGCACAGCCUGUCUGUGAGGGUGACACAAAUUCAUGAAGUAUUCCAUAUUUUA
ensembl:snRNA U6 U6 spliceosomal RNA